GUCUAAGGCAGGGCACAGACAGUGAACAUAACCUCACCCCCUUCUUUUCCAUUACUGCCUGUGUUUUUCUCUGCUGUGUAUCCUUGGUGUCUUGUCUUGGCCUCCUUGAUUCUCUGCACUCCUGGGAGUGCCUGACAGUGGAGAUGUUUGGACCCCUUCAGGAAAGAGACUUCACAGCUCAAAUCAGAGGCCCCUGCUAACAGACUUCACCCCCGACCCCUAUGACCUUCUCUUAGGGCCUCCUGAGAGCUCAACUCCCCCUGCUCCUGCCACCACCCUAGGCGUCGCUGGCAGGCAUGAGACUGGAGGAAGGUGACAUUGCGGUCAGCCUGGGCACCAGUGACACCCUGUUUCUCUGGCUCCAAGAACCCAUGCCUGCCCUGGAAGGCCACAUCUUCUGCAACCCGGUUGACUCUCAGCACUACAUGGCACUCCUGUGGUGAGCCUGGGUGUUGGUUGGCACCAUUCCCUGGGUGAGGAGGUGUGAGCAGAUCUGGCACCAUCUUGAGGACCCUAGGUCCUUCCACUAAGCUCUGGAAUGACUCCCUCCACUUUCCCAGGCUCUGCUGGGCAGCUGAGACCCCCAAGGACUCACCGAC
rnacentral:lncRNA from 1 species